rnacentral:rRNA from 1 species
AUGGCGCUCAACAAGGAGUACACUUACGCGGACUUGGAGAAGGAGCCAUACUGGCCAUUCGAGAAGCUGCGGAUCUCAAUCACUGGAGCUGGUGGGUUCAUAGCCUCCCACAUUGCAAAGCGCCUCAAGGGCGAGGGGCACUACAUCAUCGCCUCUGACUGGAAGAAGAACGAACACAUGGAAGAGGAUAUGUUCUGCCAUGAGUUUCACCUUGCUGAUCUGAGGGUCAUGGACAACUGCCUCAAGGUAACCACUGGGGUUGACCAUGUUUUCAACCUUGCAGCUGAUAUGGGAGGGAUGGGCUUCAUCCAGUCCAACCAUUCUGUCAUCAUGUACAACAACACUAUGAUCAGCUUUAACAUGCUUGAGGCUAGUAGAAUCAAUGGUGUCAAGAGGUUCUUUUAUGCCUCGAGUGCUUGCAUCUACCCUGAAUUUAAGCAGUUGGAAACUGUAGUUAGCUUGAAGGAGGCAGAUGCUUGGCCUGCAGAGCCUCAAGAUGCCUAUGGCUUGGAGAAACUUGCCACUGAGGAAUUGUGCAAGCACUACACAAAGGACUUUGACAUUGAGUGCCGGAUUGGUCGCUUUCACAAUAUAUAUGGUCCAUAUGGGACAUGGAAGGGUGGAAGGGAGAAGGCACCUGCUGCUUUCUGCAGAAAGGCUCUAACCUCCACUGACCGGUUUGAGAUGUGGGGAGAUGGUCUGCAGACUAGAUCCUUCACAUUUAUUGAUGAAUGUGUGGAGGGUGUCCUCAGGCUCACAAAGUCUGAUUUCUGCGAGCCUGUAAACAUCGGAAGUGACGAAAUGGUGAGCAUGAACGAGAUGGCUGAGAUAGUCCUGGGCUUCGAGAACAAGCAGCUGCCCAUCCACCACAUCCCUGGCCCCGAGGGUGUCCGUGGCCGUAACUCUGACAACACGCUCAUCAAGGAGAAGCUUGGCUGGGCUCCAACCAUGAGGCUGAAGGAUGGGCUCAGGAUCACGUAUUCUUGGAUCAAGGAGCAGCUGGAGAAGGAAAAGUCUGAAGGCACCGACAUGUCCGCAUACGGAACAUCCAAGGUCUGCACCACGCAGGCACCGGUCCAGCUUGGCUCCCUCCGCGCCGCAGAUGGCAAGGAGUGA